rnacentral:misc_RNA from 1 species
CCGAAUUACAAGUCGGUCGAUUGUGCUGGUGACCUAACAGUUACAUGUGCACAUCAGCUGCAAAUCCACACACCUGUGCACUUUAGACUUUGGGAUUCGCCAGCUUACGGUUGGCAGUCGGUCUUCCACCUGUGGGUCGACCUGGAUCCCGAAGUACUUUACACAAACUCUUGAAUGGAAUGGAAUGUUGACUUGUGCUUAUGCACUUAUUGACAUA